UCUCAUGCCAACAGGAACCUCUGAGCCAGCCCAGGUGCCCCUCCUCUGCGUCAAAGAUGGAUUCACAGCCCCGGGUCUCGGAAGGAUAAGUGCAGGGCAAAGCCCCAGAGAGGGGUUGGGAGUCGGUGCAACCACCCAAAGGAGACUCAGGUUCCUGGGGUGAAAGAUGGCAUCGGUUUUCCCGGAACUUCCGGCGACUGGGGAGAGAUCGUCCGAGCGAUCAUCGAUGGAAACUUCUGAGAGCCACGGGGAGUCCCUGCCCAGUGACUUCUGGACUGCAUCGUGUAGCAUCAUAUAUGUUUAUUUAGUGUUGCGGGUUGCUUCUUAGGCAUAGUUAUUGUAUUUUACAACUUGAAUAGGAAAAGUCCAGCCGCCGUUUAUGUUGUCAUUUGUAUUGCCUUGUACCACUCUGUAUCAUACACUUGUAUAGUUGUAGUCGUAUCGGUCCGUAUCUGAACCUCACGGCGUCACAUUCCAUGUGUCAGGAAUUGUAUAUCGUUGCGCCUUUGUAGCACUUUUUAUGUCAUGUCACUUGUAUUGCCAUGUAAUGUUCUGUCUGGUAUACUUCUAUAUUUGCAAUUGUAUUGCUCUGUAUGUGAAUGUCAUAGUGUUGUAUUGCUGUGCAUCAGUUAGGAAUUGUAUAGCUUUGUACCUUA